GGCAUCACUCACUGCGUGCCGUGAUUCUGGAUCGGGCGCAGAUCUUUGCGCUCCCACCUCUCCUCCUCCUCCUCUCUCUCUCUCUCGUGCCGCCAUCGUUGCAAGGAGCAGGGGAGAUAGGUGCCGAGGACAAGAAGCAACGGGUUGGUUGCGGUGGGCUUGAGCUGCUGGGGAGAUGGAGGAGGCCGUCGUGGUUCGUCAUGGAGGCGGCUCCCCCGGCAAGCUGGUUGAGCACGGAGGAAUGAGGAAUAGAUAAAUGAGGCAUGGCGUAAGCGUAGGGGUCAGCCAGGGCACGACGCAAGAGUCUGCCCAUCUCCUCUCAAAUUUGUCUGUUCCAGGUUUGUCUGACAGAGGAAGUCAAUUGAGGAGUAUGUUGACACCAGAGUCCAAGACCAUGGGUGAAGCAUUUUAAUGAAUCUGUUGUUUUGGUAAGUUUCUUGCAUUCUUAGGAUUUAAAAUAACUGCAAGGAUUGUAGAGUUCUAAUGGUUGUGUUGGGUGUGUGCGGUGGCGAGGCUGAGCAGAUCAAACUGUACGCUUGGACCAUGACUAAUGGUGUGCCAAUGUGGUGGUGACUGCCACACUCACACAGAUUCUUGGUACUCUCUGUAACCUGCAGAUGAUGGGUGGCGAAUCCGGCAACCACAGAUCCAUUCCCCUGCAUAAUUUUUGUUUUUUCAUUUGAUUUGGUACAAGGCCUACUCAGAAUGGGUUCCCUGAUCUCAAAAUUGUCAGUUUUCUUGCCUUUAGUUUAUAGGUACCUUAACAAAUACAUGUAUUUACCAUAUUGGCAGUCAUCACCAUACGGCAUUCAUUCUUCAGGAUCUCAUAUUUGAGGCUGGUCCAACCGGAGUUGGUUGAUGGCAGGGGCUGCGCUCCGGCAACCGUAUGGCUGAAGAAGGGAUGCAAAUGGAAAGAAUUUUGAGAUGCAUAAACUCCCGUCUUUGAAUCAGAAACAGAAGAUUGUUAGUUUUCUUGUUUCUUAGUUAUGCUAC